UAUAUUAAUUUAUUUACCUCAUCUGUGAUCUCAGGCCUCUCUCUUGCCACCUCGUUUAGUUGUUCCUCUUCUAUUGGCAGCUGCAAAAAUUAAUAGGAAAGCAAAGCACAUUUUAGUCAACACUCUACACAUUCAUGAACUAUUCUAACUAAGCGCAUUAUGUAUGUGUAUGUGUGUAUAUAUAUAGACUCAAAACCAACAUACAAAAGAAGUCCUUUCUUCUCCAUCUGCCACCUUUAUUGGCCUGCCAACCUUCUUCUUAACUGUGGUUCUCCCUUGUUCCCCAUCCUCCUUAUUCUUCCUUGGCCUUCCCACCUUCUUCUGCAUUUGAGUAGUGCUUUCUCCCGGUGGCACUAUAGAACUACUCUUUUCUUUUGGAUUCUUCUUCCUUGGCUUUGGAGUGGGUUUAUUUGGGUAGAUUUCACAAAGUAUGAAAUCUGUAACCUCGAUAAUCAAUCGGAAGGACCCCUUAGAUUCUUUAUGAAUAUAGUACUGUAAUUCUAGAUUAAUGUAAAUAUUAUCAGGCUUCCUUUUCUAUUUCCAGAUGAAUAUAGU
rnacentral:lncRNA from 1 species